rnacentral:rRNA from 1 species
GACGAACGCUGGCGGCGUGCUUAACACAUGCAAGUCGAACGGAAAGGCCCUGCUUUUGUGGGGUGCUCGAGUGGCGAACGGGUGAGUAACACUUGAGUAACCUGCCCUUGACUUUGGGAUAACUUCAGGAAACUGGGUCUAAUACCGGAUAGGAGCUCCUGCUGCAUGGUGGGGGUUGGUAAGUUUCGGCGGUUGGGGAUGGACUCGCGGCUUAUCAGCUUGUUUGUGGGGUAGUGGCUUACCAAGGCUUUGACGGGUAGCCGGCCUGAGAGGGUGACCGGCAAAAUUGGGACUGAGAUACGGCACAGACUAGUACGGGAGGCAGCAGAGGGGAAUAUAGCACAAUGGGAGGAAGCAUGAUGAAGAAAAGCAGCGUGGGGGAUGAGGGGAUUCGGGUAGUAAAGCGAAUUAGACUGUGACGAAGAGAGAGUGACGGUAAUGGGUAAAGAAGCACCGGCUAACUACGUG